rnacentral:rRNA from 1 species
GUGAGGAAUUUUCCGCAAUGGGCGAAAGCCUGACGGAGCAAUGCCGCGUGAAGGAUGAAGGCCUAUGGGUUGUAAACUUCUUUUCUCAGAAAAGAAUUAUGACGGUAUCUGAGGAAUAAGCAUCGGCUAACUCUGUGCCAGCAGCCGCGGUAAGACAGAGGAUGCAAGCGUUAUCCGGAAUGAUUGGGCGUAAAGCGUCUGUAGGUUGUUUAAAAAGUAUUCUGUCAAAGAUUAGGGCUUAACCCUAGAUAGGCAGAAUAAACUUUUAAGCUAGAGUUUGGUAGAGGCAGAGGGAAUUCCCGGUGGAGCGGUGAAAUGCGUAGAUAUCGGGAGGAACACCAAAGGCGAAGGCACUCUGCUGGGCCAAUACUAACACUGAGAGACGAAAGCGAGGGGAGCAAAUGGGAUUAGAAACCCGUAUAGUCC